UACAGGGGGGGCAAGCGUUGUUCGGAAUUACUGGGCGUAAAGCGCACGUAGGCGGAUCUUUAAGUCAGGGGUGAAAUCCUGGAGCUCAACUCCGGAACUGCCUUUGAUACUGGGGAUCUCGAGUCCGGGAGAGGUGAGUGGAACUCCGAGUGUAGAGGUGAAAUUCGUAGAUAUUCGGAAGAACACCAGUGGCGAAGGCGGCUCACUGGCCCGGUACUGACGCUGAGGUGCGAAAGCGUGGGGAGCAAACAGG
rnacentral:rRNA from 1 species